AGGGGAAAUGAUCGUUUGGUGGAGAGAAUUCUGGAGACCUUGGCGUGAAGGCACGGGAAUUCCAGCUAGAUGAGCAGCGGAAGCUAGACUCAGAGCACAGUGAGGGCGGGGAAUUUGAUGAUCUGUCGUCCUCUCCCAAGCACUUAGUACAGUCCUUUGCCCAUGAAAAGGGCGUCCGGAGCUAAAAAGACCAUGUGUAAAAUCGGAGACUCCGGUGUCGGCAUUUCCCCCGGGAACUGGAAGAAACGGUCCUUCGAAACAUCCCGAUCCUUCGACACUUUGGUCUUCAAAAGGAAAGACUUUCCAUCAAGGGAACAGGUCAGAAGGCAGCAUGAAGACCCCCUAACCUCAUGGAGUCGUAGGGAACGUGCUCAAGUGGAAAAGACGAGCUCCACUUUGCCCACUACUCUCUGGUCUGCUGUUAGACAUCCAGUGCGUCGAAGUUGAAAGACACGAGCUGCCCACCACGUCUCGAGGGGGAGACAGACAUUAAUAUAAAUGGCAGAGAGGGGAAAUAGUUGAGUAUAAGUGUAAUGGGUGAUUCAAUGAUACUGUCCUGAAAGAAAACGCUUUUCCCACUCUCACAUGGCAUAUUGUUGGAGAGAUGGAUUUGGGAUUCAUUCGUGUUGAUGUUGUAGCUGAAGCCGUGUUAUUAUUAUUAGUGUGGCAUUUAAGUGCUAAGCAACGUGGCCUGUUGGA